rnacentral:rRNA from 1 species
UAUGUGAUCGUCUCUCGCAUAUCAAUAAGCGGAGGAAAAGAAACUAACAAGGAUUCCCCUAGUAACGGCGAGUGAAGCGGGAAGAGCUCAAAUUUGAAAUCUUAAAGGGUUUCCCUUUACGAAUUGUAGUUUAAAGAAGUGUUUUCUGUUGAGGUUUUGGUAAAAGUUCUUUGGAAUAGGACAUCAUAGAGGGUGAGAAUCCCGUAUUUGACCUUUACUUUCAACUUUGUGAUACACUUUCAAAGAGUCGGAUUGUUUGGGAAUGCAGUCCAAAAUGGGUGGUAAAUUUCAUCUAAAGCUAAAUAUUGGCGAGAGACCGAUAGCGAACAAGUACCGUGAGGGAAAGAUGAAAAGAACUUUGAAAAGAGAGUUAAACAGUACGUGAAAUUGUCAAAAGGGAAGCGUUUGACACCAGUGUUGUUUUUCUGAAAAUCAAUUAAAGAACUGUUUAUGCUAAGUUGUUUAGACUUUAUCAGCUAACUGUUUAGUUUUGAGCUUUUCUUUAAUGCACUUUUCAGUUAACAAGUCAACAUCAAUUUCUUUUGCUGUAAAAAAGCUUGAGGAAGGUGGCUUGAGAUUCGUCUUAAGUGUUUAUAGCCUCUUGCCUAUGCAGUCGGAGAGAUUGAGGUCUGCAGCGUAGAUCCUUCGGGGCUAAAUGCAUUUGUGCUAAGUUAUAGCAUUUUAUAGACAACUUGUUGACUAUGAUUUGUCUUGUAGCUUACUCGCUUAUGUUAUUUUACCUACGCUUAGGAUGUUGAAGACUCUACAGAGAUA